rnacentral:rRNA from 1 species
GACGAACGCUGGCGGCGUGCUUAACACAUGCAAGUCGAACGGAAAGGCCCGGCUUUUGUGGGGUGCUCGAGUGGCGAACGGGUGAGUAACACGUGAGUAACCUGCACUUGACUUUGGGGUAACUUCAGGAAACUGGGGCUCAUACCGGAUAGGAUCUCCUGCUGCGUGGUGGGGGUUGGAAAGUUUCGGCGGUUGGGGAUGGACUCGCGGCUUAUGAGCUUGUUGGGGGGGUAGUGGCAGACCAAGGCUUUGAGGGGUAGCCGGCCUGAGAGGGGGACCGGACACAAUGCGCCUGAGAGACGGCACAGACGGGAAUGGUACGCAAUGGUGGAGAAUCUGACACAAUGGGGGGGCGUCAGAUGUGGCACUGCCGCGUUCGGGAAGACCGGUUUCGGGUUGUGAACCGAUGUCGCCUUAGACGAAGCGUUAGUGACGGUACCGGGUAAAGAAGCACCGGCUAACUACGUG